rnacentral:rRNA from 1 species
GACGAACGCUGGCGGCGCGCUUAACACAUGCAAGUCGAACGGAAAGGCCUGCUUUCCCUUGUGGAUUGCGGGUACUCGAGUGGCGAACGGGUGAGUAACACGUGAGUGAUCUGCCCCCAACUUGGGUAUAAGCCUGGGAAACUGGGUCUAAUUCCCGAUAGGACUGCAGGGUGGUGCCUGUGGUGGAAAACGAUUUUCUAGUGGUUGGGGAUGAGCUCGCGGCCUAUCAGCUUGUUGGUGGGGUAAUGGCCUACCAAGGCGGGGACGGGUAGCCGGCCUGAGAGGGUGGACGGCCGCAUUGAGACUGGGAUACGGCCCAGACUCCUACGGGAGGCAGCAGUGGGGAAUAUUGCACAAUGGGCGGAAGCCUGAUGCAGCGACGCCGCGUGGGGGAUGACGGCCUUCGGGUUGUAAACUCCUUUCGACCGCGAGGAAGCCACCUGGUUGGAAGGGUGGUGACGGUAGUGGUAGAAGAAGCACCGGCUAACUACGUG